rnacentral:misc_RNA from 1 species
GCAACAUCACAUUUAUAAUCUACUGGCAUCAUUCAAGUCCUUUAAGCAAUUACUUCCAUUGUACAUACAUAAUUUUGGAUAAACACUUAACAAAGGGAAAAUACUUCAUUACAUAUCAUUGUUUUCCUAGCAAAUUGAGUUUAAAAGUAUAUGCAGAACAUUUCAAAAAAAAAGAACUUGUAGACAGAUAGCUGCUACAAGACACAAGCUUUGUCAACAUCAACCUUAGAUGGUAAAGCGCUCAAGCCAAAAGACUUCAUUUGCAUACUAGUUACCUCCCGGGUUCCGGUUCCACGACAAGUAUGUUGGAUCUCCAAGCUGCCUUGGCUUAACUAGAUACACGAUCGUGAAAGCCAUGGCCAGAAAGAAACACAAUCCACCUACAGUAAGAUAAGCAAUACCAAGAAAAUCAUUCUUUCCGCCAAUCCAGCUAGUUGUAGAAAGCACAAGCUUCUUCUUUCCAUCGAAACUAUAAGUAUUGUAAUUGUUCAGCACCGUCACGUUUAACCGUUCACCCGCCUCCAGAUCCACUUCUAUCUUCCCAUACAACUUCCUAAACGUCGGAAGUGCAGCAGUUCUCAUCCAAACAAUUAGAUUUUCUUGCUUGUCCAACGAUUCAUUCGUAAGCUUCCCACCCCCGAUUAGUGUCCCAUUCUGAAAGUUUGACGGAAAAACAUCUUUUCCAAACUUAUGAUCCCUAUCACUCUUCCAAGCUAUACCAUUUUUGUUCACAUCCAACCGCUUAUUAAUAUUAUUAACAAUACUAAAAUUAUAAGUAUCAUUGAACAAACUCCAAGCAAUCAAACCACAAGGCACAAUUGGUAAACCAUUAACACGAUCUUCGGGGUCACAAGUACCAGUAUCAUCCCUUCUACUAGCACUUUUCAACUGCUGAUCACUUCGACUUUUAACAUACCUACGAUGAUUCUGAUAAUAAUUCUCAAGCUGAUAAUAAAUAUAAAUAGGCUGCUUCAUUUUCUUAGGCACAGUCAAAGUCCUAAUACAUGUUUUAUCAAAACUAUCAUUUGUUAUAAACCUAAUUUUAUCAUUUGUCAUAUUCGAUGGCACACAUUCAGAAUCAUAACGAUCAACAAUUUCAACAACAUCUCUAGAUGCUAAAAGUGAAACAACCCCAAUUGGGAUAAACACAAUACCAACAAGUAAAAAAACAGAAAUCACCCAUUUUGGAGUUAGAAUCGGUUUGCAAGCUGGAAGUUCCUGUUGAGUGAAUCUUGAAUACUUGGGUCGGUUUGAAUUUCUUCUAAUUGAAGUAUUAUCAUCAGAUCCAGCACCCCCAGUAGUUGAAGAUGAAGGGUUCAUCUUUCUUUUUUUUCAACUCAAAAUCAACUGAAAACACAAAAUCAGUUGAACCCAGAUGAAUUUUUGAGAAAUUUUUGGAGAAUCUGAAGAAAGUGAUGAUUUUGAGAAAUGGGUUAUCGCUAUAAUUAAGGAAUUUUGAUCGGAAAUCGGAAUAUAUGGAGAGGAUUAG